rnacentral:rRNA from 1 species
AGUGAACGCUGGCGGUAGGCCUAACACAUGCAAGUCGAACGGCAGCACAGUAAGAGCUUGCUCUUACGGGUGGCGAGUGGCGGACGGGUGAGGAAUACAUCGGAAUCUACUUUUUCGUGGGGGAUAACGUAGGGAAACUUACGCUAAUACCGCAUACGACCUACGGGUGAAAGCAGGGGAUCUUCGGACCUUGCGCGAUUGAAUGAGCCGAUGUCGGAUUAGCUAGUUGGGGGGGUAAAGGCCCACCAAGGCGACGAUCCGUAGCUGGUCUGAGAGGGUGGGAGGCGACACUGGGGCCGAGAGGAGGGCCAGAGUCGGGAGUGGGGGAGAAGGGGGGAAGAGUGCACAAGGGGUGCAAGCCGGAUGAAGCGACGCCGCGUGGGUGAAGACCGCCUUUGGGUGGAAAAAAAGGUUCGCUAGGGAAGAAGCGUGUUGUGACGGUGCCCAGAUAAGAAGCACCGGCUAACUACGUG